AGGGAUGGAGAAGUGACCCAA
rnacentral:misc_RNA from 1 species